rnacentral:tRNA from 1 species
GGAGAGUUACCCAAGUGGCUGAAGGGGCGGCUUUGCUAAAGCUGUAGGGGGGCGCAAGUCCCCGCGAGAGUUCGAAUCUCUCACUCUCCGCCA